rnacentral:rRNA from 1 species
CCUACGGGUGGCAGCAGUAGGGAAUUUUCGUCAAUGGGCGCAAGCCUGAACGAGCAAUGCCGCGUGAACGAGGAAGGUCUUCGGAUCGUAAAGUUCUGUUGAAGGGGAAAAAGAGCGGAGAGAGGAAAUGCUUUCUGAUUGAUAUUACCCUUCGAGGAAGUCACGGCUAACUACGUGCCAGCAGCCGCGGUAAUACGUAGGUGGCGAGUGUUAUCGGGAAUGAUUGGUCGUAAAGGGUGCGUGGGCGGCUUGCGAAGUCUGGGGUGAAGUGUACCGGCUCAACCGGUACAGGCGCUGGAAACUGGCGGGCUAGAGAGCAGGAGAGGGCGGUGGAACUCGAUGUGUAGCGGUAAAAUGCGUAGAUAUAAGGAAGAACACCAGUGGCGAAGGCGGCCGCCUGGCCUGUUACUGACGCUGAGGCACGAAAGCGUGGGGAGCAAAUAGGAUUAGAUACCCCUGUAGUC